GACGAACGCUGGCGGCGUGCCUAAUACAUGCAAGUCGAACGCACAGUUUAUACCGUAGCUUGCUACACCAUAGACUGUGAGUUGCGAACGGGUGAGUAACGCGUAGGUAACCUGCCUGGUAGCGGGGGAUAACUAUUGGAAACGAUAGCUAAUACCGCAUAAUAUUGAUUAUUGCAUGAUAAUUGAUUGAAAGAUGCUAUUGCAUCACUACCAGAUGGACCUGCGUUGUAUUAGCUAGUAGGUGAGGUAACGGCUCACCUAGGCGACGAUACAUAGCCGACCUGAGAGGGUGAUCGGCCACACUGGGACUGAGACACGGCCCAGACCCCUACGGGAGGCAGCAGUAGGGAAUCUUCGGCAAUGGACGAAAGUCUGACCGAGCAACGCCGCGUGAGUGAAGAAGGUUUUCGGAUCGUAAAGCUCUGUUGUAAGAGAAGAACGGGUGUGAGAGUGGAAAGUUCACACUGUGACGGUAUCUUACCAGAAAGAGACGGCUAACUACGUG
rnacentral:rRNA from 1 species